rnacentral:rRNA from 1 species
UCAGGACGAACGCUGGCGGCGUGCUUAACACAUGCAAGUCGAACGGGGGACUUCGGUCCUAGUGGCGAACGGGGUGAGUAAAGUGCAAAUAACCUGCCUCAAAGAUGGGGACAACAGCUCGAAAGGGUUGCUAAUACCGAAUGUUGUAUAGAAAGGGCAUCCUGAUUAUACUAAAGAUUUAUCGCUUUGAGAGGGGUUUGCAUCCGAUUAGGCAGUUGGCGGGUAAAAGCCCACCAAACCGACGAUCGGUAACCGGUCUGAGAGGAUGAACGGUCACAUUGGAACUGAGACACGGUCCAGACUCCUACGGGAGGCAGCAGUGGGGAAUAUUCCACAAUGGAGGGAACUCUGAUGGAGCGACGCCGCGUGAAGUGAAGAAGGGUUUAGGCUCGUAAAGCUCUUUUCUUGCAGAUGAAUGACUUAUUAGAUAAGUAGGGACAGUAUGUAAGGAAUAAGCCACGGCUAACUACGUGCCAGCCGCUGC